AACGAACGCUGGCGGCAGGCUUAACACAUGCAAGCCGAACGCAUCCUUCGGGGUGAGUGGCAGACGGGUGAGUAACGCGUGGGAACGUGCCCUUCAGUUCGGGAUAACCCAGGGAAACUUGGGCUAAUACCGGAUACGUGCGAGAGCAGAAAGAUUUAUCGCUGAAGGAUCGGCCCGCGUCUGAUUAGCUAGUUGGUGGGGUAAUGGCCCACCAAGGCGACGAUCAGUAGCUGGUCUGAGAGGAUGAUCAGCCACAUUGGGACUGAGACACGGCCCAAACUCCUACGGGAGGCAGCAGUGGGGAAUAUUGGACAAUGGGCGCAAGCCUGAUCCAGCCAUGCCGCGUAAGUGAUGAAGGCCUUAGGGUUGUAAAGCUCUUUCGUCCGGGACGAUAAUGACGGUACCGGAAGAAGAAGCCCCGGCUAACUUCGUGCCAGCCGCCGCAGUAA
rnacentral:rRNA from 1 species